rnacentral:rRNA from 1 species
AUACGGAGGAUGCAAGCGUUAUCCGGAUUUAUUGGGUUUAAAGGGUGCGUAGGCGGGACUGUAAGUCAGGGGUGAAAUACUGCAGCUUAACUGUAGCAUUGCCUUUGAAACUGCCGUUCUUGAGUACAGUUGAGGUAGGCGGAAUGUGGGGUGUAGCGGUGAAAUGCAUAGAUAUACCACAGAACGCCGAUUGCGAAGGCAGCUUACUAAGCUGGUACUGACGCUGAGGCACGAAAGCGUGGGGAUCAAACAGGAUUAGAUUCCCUUGUAGUCCACGCUGUAAACGAUGAUUACUGGUUGUUAGCGAUAUAUAGCUAGUGACUGAGCGAAAGCAUUAAGUAAUCCACCUCGGGAGUGCGUCGGCAGCGAUGAAACUCAAAGGAAUUGACGGGG